rnacentral:rRNA from 1 species
GUCCACGCCCUAAACGAUGUCAACUAGUUGUUGGGAGAGUAAAAUCUCUUAGUAACGCAGCUAACGCGUGAAGUUGACCGCCUGGGGAGUACGGUCGCAAGAUUAAAACUCAAAGGAAUUGACGGGGGCCCGCACAAGCGGUGGAUUAUGUGGAUUAAUUCGAUGCAACGCGAAAACCUUACCUGGCCUUGACAUGCUACUAACGAAGCAGAGAUGCAUUAGGUGCCCGAAAGGGAAAGUAGACACAGGUGCUGCAUGGCUGUCGU